UUCACAAAAGCACACUUUUAUAAACAACUGAGUUUAUCUACAAUAAGAGUCUAGGUAAAGGUCUACAAAAUAUCGGCUCUCAAAGGAAGCUAUCCUACAACAUACUAGUAGGACAUAAACAUCGAUCUUUCAGAUUCCACCUUCACCGACUCCAGGGCUUUGAUCCUCCAUCAAUACCAUUUAAGGACCAGUGAGACAAUGGCUCGGCAAGUCCACCUUCUAAACCUCUAUUAGGAAGGAAAUACGUCAAGGGUGACCUAGCCACACAAUCAUUCAAUGAGAACAGGGAACUUAUCUCGCCUCAGUUCCUUCUUGCAUGUUAGCAUAGUUCAUAUCUCAAAUGCAUAUCAUUGAUGCACACAACAAUUGAAACGUUUCAUCAGCUUAAUCAAUCAUUCAUGCGUUCCAAUUGUUAAUAUCUUCUCCUUAAGGGUACCACCUACUCAUAGGUUCAGUGUCUAUUGGCACAGCUAGGUAUCGCCUCACCACCAUUAAGCACGACCACAUUUAUAUCUUAAUAGACGGCUUUUCCGAAGGGGCAUAGGUUCAAAAUUUACUGUGACCCGCGAUCCAAUGAAUGGAUAUCUCAUAUAGGGUAAUGUUUGGCUUAAAAGCUUGAGACUAGUCCUCCUUAACCAACACACAAUCAAACAAUCUCGGCCUAGAACAACAUACAUUUCACUCAAAUAUCUCCAUUAAAAUAGUGAUCAUGGCCUGUUUUCUUCAUAUUAAAAACACCCGAUGAAAAUAAUCGUGUGGGCACACGGUCGGCCUAAGCUAAAAAUAUAAUAUCAUUACUUUAGAAAAUCCACUAUUUAUAUGAAGUCUGAAAACAUGUUUGGCAUUGUAAACCGAUGUCCCGGUAAUCUAUAAUUUAUUAAUGAAAUUAUACAAUUUUGGGAUAAAUUCCCAAAAUUACAACUUAAAUUCAAAUUGCACAAAUUAACAUCUAAACACACCAUUGCAGUUAGCAUGAAAUUCCGAUCACUGGCUAUUUUGGCCUAAUUUCCAAAAAAUACUUAAUAAUUAAAUAAUUACCAAAAUUAAUUAAAUAAAUCAAUUAAAUACCAAAAAUAACUAACCUAGGCCAAAAUUGUCCGAUUAAAUAUCGAGACAGUCCUGAAAAAUUCCUAAACCAAUCUAGAUAAUUAAUAAAAUCUACCUAGGCCCUAAUUAACCUAAAUUAAUGACCUAAUAGGAAAAAUAUGAUAUUUAAAUAACUAAUCUAAUCUAACUAACCACCUAAACAUUAAUUAACUUAAUCUAAUUACCCUCUAAGCAUAAUUAACCUACUAAUCGAGGUUUAGUGACAUAACUCACUUGAUUCGAAAUCCGCUCGGAUCAAAACGACGGGGUUGCGAUGAGGCUCGACAAGUCCCAAAAGGGCGACGCCAACAGGUCACGGAUCGGGCCUGAAAUUGGCCCGCAAGCUCGCUGCUUGAGCUGAGGAAGUCAACUCUGAAGCUGCUGGUUCGGGGCUGCAACUGCGGAGAUGCCGGGCUCGAGGGGCUGUGCGGCGUCGUGCGAGGAUGGCUUCUCGCGGACGGGCUGGGGUCAACACUGGGUUUCGGUGUGUGUUGCUGUUUUUUUUUUUGGUCAGAGUGUGAUGCUGUUGACUGGCGGGAAGAUUGCUGGCAAACCGAAGUGGAGGAGGGCAGGCUUCUUCUUCGGUGGGCGCUGCUGGUUGUUGACUCCGAAGGAACCGAAGAACCGAAGACACGAGGAGGGGACAACACUUGGUGGACGAGCAGCAACGUGGAUGAAGGGACGGUGCGGUCAACAAUUUGCUUCUGUGAGUUUGAGGUUUGACCGGCGUGGGGUUACGAAGAAGGAGGAAGCAUUCGGCCGCAGGGAAAAAAUGAAAGGAAGAAAAGCGCCCCUUGGGGGUGGUGGGGGGUGAGGAGAAGAAGAGAAUGCGUGGCUGAGCUUCGGUUGA
rnacentral:lncRNA from 1 species